rnacentral:rRNA from 1 species
AACGAGAAUCUACUGAAGGAGUUUUCGGACAACGGAUGUAGAGGAAAGUGGCGGACGGGUGAGUAACGCGUGAGGAACCUGCCUUGAAGAGGGGGACAACGGUUGGAAACGACUGCUAAUACCGCAUGACGCAUAGAGGUCGCAUGAUCUUUAUGCCAAAGAUUUAUCGCUUCAAGAUGGCCUCGUCGUCUGAUUAGCUAGUUGGCGGGGUAACGGCCCACCAAGGCGACGAUCAGUAGCCGGACUGAGAGGUUGAACGGCCACAUUGGGACUGAGAUACGGCCCAGACUCCUACGGGAGGCAGCAGUGGGGAAUAUUGGGCAAUGGGCGCAAGCCUGACCCAGCAACGCCGCGUGAAGGAAGAAGGCUUUCGGGUUGUAAACUUCUUUUAAGAGGGAAGAGCAGAAGACGGUACCUCUAGAAUAAGCCACGGCUAACUACGUGCCAGCAGCCGCGGUAAUACGUAGGUGGCAAGCGUUGUCCGGAUUUACUGGGUGUAAAGGGCGUGCAGCCGGGUCUGCAAGUCAGAUGUGAAAUCCAUGGGCUCAACCCAUGAACUGCAUUUGAAACUGUAGAUCUUGAGUGUCGGAGGGGCAAUCGGAAUUCCUAGUGUAGCGGUGAAAUGCGUAGAUAUUAGGAGGAACACCAGUGGCGAAGGCGGAUUGCUGGACGAUAACUGACGGUGAGGCGCGAAAGUGUGGGGAGCAAACAGGAUUAGAUACCCUGGUAGUCCACACUGUAAACGAUGAAUACUAGGUGUGCGGGGACUGACCCCCUGCGUGCCGCAGUAAACACAAUAAGUAUUCCACCUGGGGAGUACGAUCGCAAGGUUGCAACUCAAA